AUGUUGCUGGUAGAAAUUAAAUGUUGUGGCCAAAGGUUUGUUUCUCUUUUGGACUGUUUGCUCAGGCAUAAUUGUUCAGGUACAAACAAUCAAUCAAUCUUCAAGUGGAAAGAAAGGGUCAGAGUGUCCAUUUCAUCGCACCAGACCGCUACGUUACUCAUAUGCCAGCUUAAAUUGUCCACAGGAGGGAAGGAUGUCAAAACGUCAUGCCUGCCGUAAGUCUCAGUGCUUUCUAAUCCUCUCCUCAUUGUCCUUAAAGUAAUGGUAAGUUAACUUGAUUUAAAUACUUUUACAAUUAUGUCAUUAAGUAAUUUGGACUGUCAACAGAAGUGUUAUGGUUGCGCCUGCAUCUGAUAAAGAUGGGGGGGGAGGAGGGGAGAAGAUGUGCACAGCUUGUUCUGAUUCCUAAUCACGGUUAAACAUCUUGAUGCUGUCCUAUUGAGUAGCAGGGGUAAAUUCCAAUAUCUCAGUAUAACAGAUGAUCAUCCGUCGAGUCCAAAGUUUGGGGGUGUCGUUAAAAAGACCUCGGCAUUGCAGUGCUGUGUUAUAAUUGUGGAGAAAUGGUUGUGCUAUAACAUUAAGAAACUAUUCUUAGGUGGCAAGGGAAGCGGUAUGUUCAUGUAGGAUAGGGUAUUAGCAGCAUCCUUGAGUUUCCAAACAAUGUUUUGUUUGUCAGAGACUUGGUCCGUUCAAUAUGGCAGUAAUCCCCUAUGACAACUGAAUUCUGUUGAAGUUCUCGUAAGCCAGAGUAGAAGGUGAAGACCAAAAUGCACUCUGGAAUGGACACCAGACACGCAUCCCUCUCAGAUCAGCCUACUGACGGCAAAUGGGUGAUGGGAUUCAGAGCGCAGGUAUCUCAGCUACUGUCGAGAUGUGGUCUGCUGAGAUAAGUAGUCAGUCAAGCUGUUGCCUUAAAAGAAAUUUCAGAUCCAUAUCUUAAGCCUUGCUCAGAUGGAAGCAGCCAGAGUGGUGCAUUUUCAGAAUUGCAUGCUAUUUUUUGACUAAAAGUCUUGAUUUUACAGGUAAACCUUACAGUUUGCUUCUCACUGUCUGCCUUGCGAUUAAAACGUGUGUCUCAAAUGUCUAUGCAAUACUUAAAGCAAAUGAAAAAAAGAAAAUCAAGUUGGUUGAUUUUGUAGAAUUAAGUUACUUUUGGUCAACUACUCGAAAUUCUUUGGCUCUUGCCAACAUUUUCAUGUGCAUUGGUUAUGGCUCCUCC
rnacentral:lncRNA from 1 species